ACGAACGCUGGCGGCGCGCCUAACACAUGCAAGUCGAACGGAGCUUAGAGAGCUUGCUUUUUAAGCUUAGUGGCGAACGGGUGAGUAACGCGUGAGUAACCUGCCCUAGAGUGGGGGACAACAGUUGGAAACGACUGCUAAUACCGCAUAAGCCCACGGUACCGCAUGGUACUGAGGGAAAAGGAUUUAUUCGCUUUAGGAUGGACUCGCGUCCAAUUAGCUAGUUGGUGAGGUAACGGCCCACCAAGGCGACGAUUGGUAGCCGGACUGAGAGGUUGAACGGCCACAUUGGGACUGAGACACGGCCCAGACUCCUACGGGAGGCAGCAGUGGGGGAUAUUGCACAAUGGGGGAAACCCUGAUGCAGCGACGCCGCGUGGAGGAAGAAGGUUUUCGGAUUGUAAACUCCUGUCGUUAGGGACGAUAAUGACGGUACCUAACAAGAAAGCACCGGCUAACUACGUGCCAGCAGCCGCGGUAAAACGUAGGGUGCAAGCGUUGUCCGGAAUUACUGGGUGUAAAGGGAGCGCAGGCGGGAAGACAAGUUGGAAGUGAAAACCAUGGGCUCAACCCAUGAAUUGCUUUCAAAACUGUUUUUCUUGAGUAGUGCAGAGGUAGAUGGAAUUCCCGGUGUAGCGGUGGAAUGCGUAGAUAUCGGGAGGAACACCAGUGGCGAAGGCGGUCUACUGGGCACCAACUGACGCUGAGGCUCGAAAGCAUGGGUAGCAAACAGGAUUAGAUACCCUGGUAGUCCAUGCCGUAAACGAUGAUUACUAGGUGUUGGGGGAUUGACCCCCUCAGUGCCGCAGUUAACACAAUAAGUAAUCCACCUGGGGAGUACGACCGCAAGGUUGAAACUCAAAGGAAUUGACGGGGGCCCGCACAAGCAGUGGAGUAUGUGGUUUAAUUCGAAGCAACGCGAAGAACCUUACCAAGUCUUGACAUCCUUCUGACCGGUACUUAACCGUACCUUCUCUUCGGAGCAGGAGUGACAGGUGGUGCAUGGUUGUCGUCAGCUCGUGUCGUGAGAUGUUGGGUUAAGUCCCGCAACGAGCGCAACCCUUAUUGCCAGUUACUACGUUAAGAGGACUCUGGCGAGACUGCCGUUGACAAAACGGAGGAAGGUGGGGAUGACGUCAAAUCAUCAUGCCCUUUAUGACCUGGGCUACACACGUACUACAAUGGCGUUAAACAAAGAGAAGCAAGACCGCGAGGUGGAGCAAAACUCAAAAACAACGUCUCAGUUCAGAUUGCAGGCUGCAACUCGCCUGCAUGAAGUCGGAAUUGCUAGUAAUCGCGGAUCAGCAUGCCGCGGUGAAUACGUUCCCGGGCCUUGUACACACCGCCCGUCACACCAUGAGAGCCGGGGGGACCCGAAGUCGAUAGUCUAACCGCAAGGAGGACGUCGCCGAAGGUAAAACUGGUGAUUGGGGUG
rnacentral:rRNA from 1 species